GGAAAAGAAACCAACAGGGAUUGCCCCAGUAACGGCGAGUGAAGCGGCAACAGCUCAGAUUUGAAAUCUGGCCUUACGGGGUCCGAGUUGUAAUCUGUAGAGGAUGCUUUGGGCGACGCGCCUUCCGAGUCCCCUGGAACGGGACGCCAGAGAGGGUGAGAGCCCCGUAUGGUCGGACGCCGAACCUCUGUAAAGCUCCUUCGACGAGUCGAGUAGUUUGGGAAUGCUGCUCAAAAUGGGAGGUAAAUUUCUUCUAAAGCUAAAUACCGGCCAGAGACCGAUAGCGCACAAGUAGAGUGAUCGAAAGAUGAAAAGCACUUUGAAAAGAGGGUUAAAUAGCACGUGAAAUUGCUGAAAGGGAAGCGCUUGUGACCAGACUUGCGCCCGGUUGAUCAUCCAGCGUUCUCGCUGGUGCACUCUGCCGGGCUCAGGCCAGCAUCGGCUCUCCCAGGGGGAUAAAGGUCGCGGGAACGUAGCUCUCUCCGGGGAGUGUUAUAGCCCGUGGCGGAAUGCCCUUAGGGGGGGCCGAGGCCCGCGUUCGCAAGGAUGCUGGCGUAAUGGUCACCAGCGACCCGUCUUGAAACACGGACCAAGGAGUCAAGCAUUAGGGCGAGUCUUUGGGUGCAAAACCCGCAGGCGCAAUGAAAGUGAACGGAGGUGAGAGCUUCGGCGCAUCAUCGACCGAUCCUGAUGUUCUCGGAUGGAUUUGAGUAAGAGCCUUACCGCUUGGACCCGAAAGAUGGUGAACUAUGCCUGAAUAGGGUGAAGCCAGAGGAAACUCUGGUGGAGGCUCGCAGCGGUUCUGACGUGCAAAUCGAUCGUCAAAUUUGGGCAUGGGGGCGAAAG
rnacentral:rRNA from 1 species